rnacentral:rRNA from 1 species
GACGAACGCUGGCUGCGUGCUUAACACAUGCAAGUCGAACGCUGAAGCCCCAGCUUGCUGGGGUGGAUGAGUGGCGAACGGGUGAGUAACACGUGAGUAACCUGCCCCUGACUUCGGGAUAAGCCCGGGAAACUGGGUCUAAUACCGGAUACGACUAUCGGACGCAUGUCUGGUGGUGGAAAGUUUUUUCGGUUGGGGAUGGGCUCGCGGCCUAUCAGUUUGUUGGUGAGGUAAUGGCUCACCAAGACGACGACGGGUAGCCGGCCUGAGAGGGCGACCGGCCACACUGGGACUGAGACACGGCCCAGACUCCUACGGGAGGCAGCAGUGGGGAAUAUUGCACAAUGGGGGAAACCCUGAUGCAGCGACGCAGCGUGCGGGAUGACGGCCUUCGGGUUGUAAACCACUUUCAGCAGGGAAGAAGCCUUCGGGUGACGGUACCUGCAGAAGAAGUACCGGCUAACUACGUG